GACGAACGCUGGCGGCGUGCCUAAUACAUGCAAGUCGAGCGAAUCAAUUGGGAGCUUGCUCCCUUUGAUUAGCGGCGGACGGGUGAGUAACACGUGGGUAACCUGCCUGUAAGACUGGGAUAACUCCGGGAAACCGGGGCUAAUACCGGAUAAGUUAUUCCUCCGCAUGGAGGAAUAUUGAAAGAUGGCUUUGGCUAUCACUUACAGAUGGACCCGCGGUGCAUUAGCUAGUUGGUGAGGUAACGGCUCACCAAGGCAACGAUGCAUAGCCGACCUGAGAGGGUGAUCGGCCACACUGGGACUGAGACACGGCCCAGACUCCUACGGAAGGCAGCAGUAGGGAAUCUUCCGCAAUGGACGAAAGUCUGACGGAGCAACGCCGCGUGAGUGAUGAAGGUUUCGGCUCGUAAAGCUCUGUUAUUAGGGAAGAACAUAUGUGUAAGUAACUGUGCACAUCUUGACGGUACCUAAUCAGAAAGCCACGGCUAACUACGUGCCAGCCGCCGCUGUAAUAC
rnacentral:rRNA from 1 species